GCGGGGAACUAACAUAUCAAUAAGCGGAGGAAAAGAAACUAACAAGGAUUCCCCUAGUAACUGCGAGUGAAGCGGGAAAAGCUCAAAUUUAAAAUCUGGUGGUCUUUGGCCAUCCGAGUUGUAAUUUAGAGAAGCGUCUUCCGCGCUGGACCAUGCACAAGUCUCCUGGAAUGGAGCGUCAUAGAGGGUGAGAAUCCCGUCUUUGGCAUGGACCCCCAGGGCUUCUGUGAUGCGCUCUCGAAGAGUCGAGUUGUUUGGGAAUGCAGCUCAAAAUGGGUGGUGAACUCCAUCUAAAGCUAAAUAUUGGCGAGAGACCGAUAGCGAACAAGUACCGUGAGGGAAAGAUGAAAAGCACUUUGGAAAGAGAGUGAAACAGUACGUGAAAUUGUUGAAAGGGAAACGCUUGAAGUCAGUCGCGUCGACCGAGACUCAGCCUUGCCUUGGCUUGGUGUACUUCUCGGCUGACGGGUCAGCAUCAAUUUUGAUCCUUGGAUAAUGGCAAGGGAAAGGUGGCACCUUUACAGGUGUGUUAUAGUCCUCUGUCGUAUGCAAGGGUUUGGAUUGAGGAACUCAGCACGCACCUCAUCGGUGUCGGGGCCGCUUGGCCCACGUUACGUGCUUAGGAUGCUGGCAUAAUGGCUUUAAACGACCCGUCUUGAAACACGGACCAAGGAGUCUAACGUGCACGCAAGUGUUCGGGUGGAAAACCCGUGCGCGUAAUGAAAGUAAAAGUUGGGACCUCUGUCGUGGAGGGCACCGACGCCCGGACCAGACCUUCUGUGACGGCUCUGCGGUAGAGCGUGUAUGUUGGGACCCGAAAGAUGGUGAACUAUGCCUGAAUAGGGUGAAGCCAGAGGAAACUCUGGUGGAGGCUCGUAGCGAUUCUGACGUGCAAAUCGAUCGUCAAAUUUGGGUAUAGGGGCGAAAGACUAAUCGAACCAUCUAGUAGCUGGUUCCUGCCGAAUUUCCCCUUCAGGA
rnacentral:rRNA from 1 species